UGGGGAAUAUUGCACAAUGGGCGCAAGCCUGAUGCAGCAACGCCGCGUGAACGAUGAAGGUCUUCGGAUCGUAAAGUUCUGUUGCAGGGGAAGAAAAUGACGGCACCCUGUGAGGAAGCACCGGCUAAUUACGUGCCAGCAGCCGCGGUAAUACGUAGGGGGCUAGCGUUAUCCGGAUUUACUGGGCGUAAAGGGUGCGUAGGUGGUCCGACUAGUCGGUGGUUAAGGGCUACGGCUCAACCGUAGAAAGCCGACGAAACUGGAGGACUUGAGUGCAGGAGAGGAAAGUGGAAUUCCCAGUGUAGCGGUGAAAUGCGUAGAUAUUAGGAGGAACACCAGUAGCGAAGGCGACUUUCUGGACUGCAACUGACACUGAGGCACGAAAGCGAGGGUAGCAAACGGG
rnacentral:rRNA from 1 species